rnacentral:rRNA from 1 species
GAUGAACGCUGGCGGCGUGCCUAACACAUGCAAGUCGAGCGGACCAAUGCCCAUUUCAGCUUUGCUGAUUUGAGCAACGGUUAGCGGCGGACGGGUGAGUAACGCGUGGGCAACCUGCCCUGUGCAGGGGGAUAACACAGCGAAAGCUGUGCUAAUACCCCAUAAGACUACGCUAUCGCAUGAUAGAGUAGUCAAAGCUUUAGCGGCACAGGAUGGGCCCGCGUCUGAUUAGCUAGUUGGUGGGGUAACGGCCUACCAAGGCGACGAUCAGUAGCCGACCUGAGAGGGUGAUCGGCCACACUGGAACUGAGACACGGUCCAGACUCCUACGGGAGGCAGCAGUGGGGAAUAUUGCACAAUGGGGGAAACCCUGAUGCAGCAACGCCGCGUGAGCGAAGAAGGCCUUCGGGUCGUAAAGCUCUGUCCUAAGGGAAGAAGUAUGACGGUACCUUAGGAGGAAGCCCCGGCUAACUACGUGCCAGCAGCCGCGGUAAUACGUAGGGGGCGAGUGUUAUCCGGAAUCACUGGGCGUAAAGGGUGCGUAGGCGGCCGAGUAAGCCAGAGGUGAAAGGCUACGGCUUAACCGUAGUAAGCCUUUGGAACUACUUGGCUUGAGUGCAGGAGAGGAGAGUGGAAUUCCUAGUGUAGCGGUGAAAUGCGUAGAUAUUAGGAGGAACACCAGCGGCGAAAGCGACUCUCUGGACUGUAACUGACGCUGAGGCACGAAAGCGUGGGGAGCAAACAGGAUUAGAUACCCUGGUAGUCCACGCCGUAAACGAUGAGUGCUAGGUGUCGGGGGUUCACACCCUCGGUGCCGGAGUUAACGCAAUAAGCACUCCGCCUGGGG